GUAGAGAUGGCUCAGAGGUUAAAAACA
rnacentral:piRNA from 1 species